rnacentral:rRNA from 1 species
UACGUAGGGUGCAAGCGUUAAUCGGAAUUACUGGGCGUAAAGCGUGCGCAGACGGUUGCGUAAGUCAGAUGUGAAAGCCCCGGGCUCAACCUGGGAAUUGCAUUUGAGACUGCGUAGCUAGGGUGCGGAAGAGGGAAGCGGAAUUUCCGGUGUAGCGGUGAAAUGCGUGGAUAUCGGAAGGAACACCAGUGGCGAAAGCGGCUUCCUGGUCCAGCACAGACGUUCAGGCACGAAAGCGUGGGGAGCAAACAGG